CAGCCUUUGAUGGAUUCCUAAAAACUGAUGAAAGACAACGACUGGCAAAGGAGAGGAGAGAAGAAAGGGAGAAAUACCUUGCUGCUAGGGAGCAGCAGAUACUGGAGAAGGAGAGAAGGGCAAAACUUCAAUAUGAAAAACAAAUAGAGGAACGAUGG